rnacentral:lncRNA from 1 species
UGGGCGUGGCCUCGGGGGCGGAGCGAAGCUUUCCGGAAGUGAGGACGGGGGGCGGAGCCUACGCCGAGAGCUCCCGCGUCACCUUGAGCGCGGCCGAGGCCCAGGGGGGGAACUUCCGGUGUCGGGUGGAGCACCAGGGGCGGAGCUUCGAGAGAGAGGUGGAAGGCUGCCCCGACAGGACCCAGGACCCCCCAAAUUUCUCCAUCUCCCUCCUGAGCGACCCCAACCAAUCCCACCUGGAGGAACCCGAGGUCCACCUGCUCUGCCAGGUGACGCUGAGCGGCCGCGCCAACGUCAGCCGGGAAUUGUGGGACCUGGGCGCCACCUUCACCUGCCGGGCGGGCCACGCCCACCUGGCCACGCCCCUCGAGGCCAGCAUCAGCACCUACUGUAAAGCCUCCGUCCCCACCCCCUCGGUGUCGCUGCUCCCGCCCUCCCUUCACGACCUCUACCUGUCCACC